AUGGCGCACCACGUCGAGCACCUGCACUCGGCAGAAGCCGUUGACGAGGCCAUCUUCCGCGAGGCCGAGACCAAGCGCCUGGUAAUCGUCCGUUUCGGCCAGAGCGCGCACGCUGACUGCCUGCGCGUGGACGCCGCCAUGGCCGCCGCUGCCGAGCGCAUCGGCCCCGUAGCUGUGCUCUACGCCGUCGACAUCGACGAGGUACAGGACUUCAACGUCAUGUACGAGCUCCACGUGAGGCCUUGCACCGUCAUGUUCUUCUACGGGAACUCGUGCGUCGACGUACGCGGCCCCUGCUGUAGGGACGACAUCGUGUGGGCCGCGUACGGCGGCGAUGACUUCGCCGGCAUUAUCACGGCGGUGCACGAGAGAGCCAGGGCUGGGCGCCGCCUCGUCGUCCUCGGCUAG
rnacentral:rRNA from 1 species